UACGGGGGAUGCAAGCGUUGUCCGGAAUGAUUGGGCGUAAAGGGUCCGUAGGUGGUUGGCAAAGUCUACCGUUCAAUACCAGGGCUCAACCCUGGGGCAGCGUUGGAAACUGGCCGGCUGGAGUGCGGUAGGGGCAGGGGGAAUUCCCGGUGUAGCGGUGAAAUGCGUAGAUCUCGGGAAGAACAACGGUGGCGAAGGCGCCCUGCUGGGCCGUGACUGACACUGAGGGACGAGAGCUAAGGGAGCGAAUGGG
rnacentral:rRNA from 1 species